AAAUGCGAUAAGUAAUGUGAAUUGCAGAAUUCAGUGAAUCAUCGAAUCUUUGAACGCACCUUGCGCUCCUUGGUAUUCCUUGGAGCAUGCCUGUUUGAGUAUCAUGAAAUCUUCAAAGUAAAUCUUUUGUUAACUCAAUUGGUUUCUACUUUGGUAUUGGAGGUCUUUGCAGCUUCACACCUGCUCCUCUUUGUUCAUUAGCUGGAUCUCAGUGUUAUGCUUGGUUCCACUCGGCGUGAUAAGUUAUCUAUCGCUGAGGACACUGUAAAAGGUGGCCAAGGUAAAUGCAGAUGAACCGCUUCUAAUAGUCCAUUGACUUGGACAAUACUUUUAUGAUCUGAUCUCAAAUCAGGUAGGACUACCUGCUGAACUUAAGC
rnacentral:misc_RNA from 1 species